CAGAAUUCAAUCAGACUUUAUUACUCCUUCCCUCUUUCCAUGCUACUCUUAAUUAUAUAAUAACUCACAGAGCAGUUAUAUGACUAUCGAGCAAAAUGAGGCAGACCACCUCAGGGCUACAUACCAUGGAACAGCCUGCACAAGUGCUGGUUGUUGGUCUCUUUGCAAAGUCUGCAAGCAGCCACAAAUGAAUGGUUUAUGCUGAGUAACGCAAACAAAAUAAACACAUGAUAGCAUUCCCAAACCUUCCUUUUCUUUUUGAUUUUAGUCUCACAGUCUCCAGUUUCAUAGAACAACGACUGACUGUAGGAAAAGCAAGAGACACUGCAGCGAGGCCUGCCACUUAAUUACUGCUAGUUUAAUGAUGGGGACAAAGGGCAACGUGAAUCCUCACGGGUAUGUUGGACUGCUCAUUACAAGAGAACAGAGAUGGGGCCAAGGAACUGUCCGCAGUCAAAUUCCCACCCACUGAUUUGAGAGCAAAAUAACUUGGUAUAAGACAAAAAUGUGAAAAAACACACAGUGGAAAGUGAGGUCAGCUGCUGUGAAGCUCUGCUGUCUGCACUGAGAAGAAAGCUGCAAUGGAAAAGGAGCUGUGCAGGAGCUGCAGCCUGGUUUUUUUUGGCCAGGAUGAACAUCACCCCAAAGUCAGGGCUGUCAAGAGGCCAGUGCUGCAGGAAACAUCUUUCAUAAUAAUAGAAUUAGUAAUAAUAACACCGCAGAGAAGAUCCCACUGAAAUCACGUAGACUGCAGGAUGCAUGAAAUCCUGAGCAUGGUGCGAGCUGCCUGCGUGGGUCCUCCUCGUGUCAGCAAUAUCCUUGUUGACUGGAGACAAACCUUUUACUGCGAAUCGGGAGCGAUGCAUGAAGCACAAUCCAGCCUGAUCAAAGUACUGAGGUAACUGCAAACUCUGUUCAUAAUGGAAACUGUCCAGAAAAUAAUGAAUCAUUGCGUGUUGCAAACCACAGCUUCUCCGACAGGGCUGUGAGCUCUGAAUCUAAAGAUUUUGUUUUUAAUCUUCUUGUCAAGAGGAAAGGAUGAUACAGAUGUCCCAGCACCAGGAAGGAUGAGCAGAGCACAAUUUCUUCCCUCCAGCAGACCUGUCAGCUCCACAAUGAGCCCCAUAUUUUUGCAGAAUCCUCUUCUUUAAUGAAACCCCACUUUCUGUCUCUCCAU
rnacentral:lncRNA from 1 species